UUCUUUUUUCUUUUGACAGCUCGCUAAUUAACCCCACCACCCAGGUCCCUUGAUACCCAAUGACACGCCCCUGAUACCCAAUGAAACCCACGAAACCCACACCCCUUAUACCCAGAAAAACUCACGCCCCUUAUACCCAAAGAAACCCACGCCCGUUCUCAUCCUCAUCUCGUCGGAGGCGUCGCCCAACCCCGAGCAUCUCAGUCGGCAUCGCCCAACCCCGUUUUGUUCCCUCUCCGACCAUGACGAUGACCACAAAGAAUCUCUGCCCAUGAAGCAUCUCCGGCUACGAAGAGUAUUGCAAAUACAACAAAUAGUGAAGAAACUUGGGCAUAUAUGGCAUUUAGUGCUUCUGCAAAGAAUGUGAGACAAUUAAUUUGUCAUUUGUUAAUUAAUUAAAACAUAUAAUUAAUAUGCCAGCAGGUAUUUAUAAAAUCCUAAAUUAUAUAUAUACAAAAUAUCUGCAAUAUAUAUACUUUUAAACCCAAAUGAUAUUUCGGCUUCCACAAAAAAUGGAGCCUUUCUGUAUCUAGGAAGGAAGAGAUUAGGAGUUUGGUCCUUUUGGCCUCCGAAGAGGUGGCUAGGCUGAGCUCGAGGUGAAUACGGAAUCAAGUUACAGCGUCGUUUCCAUGGCUACUCUGAAUCAAUGUGUUGUUGUUUAUUUCCCCACCACUACUCGCUGUGAUCAAUGUAAAGUGGUUUGUCACUGGUAUUUAUUUUGACUUGCCAUUAUUAAAUUUUGAUAAUUAAAAAAUUGUGUGUUAUAAUUAAAUGAUUUGCUCUGUUUAGUUUUUAUUCAAUUAGAAUUAGAUUUUUGCGAGGGACGUUUUAUAGUGUCGAGUGGGGACUUUGAUACAGUUAAGCUUAAUCCUCAUCAUUCAAGCACUAUAACAAUACUCAUUGACUAAUCUCAUAGUGUCAUGUAGUUUCCAGAGGCUGCUUCCAUCAUAAUACACAUAUACUAAGUAUUUUCUUAUUAUUAACAUAAAUAUAUAUGUGGAAUUGGAUUGUGUUCAGUGUUCUUCAAGGAAGCGUAAGUGAGUUUUGCUUCCACAAUUGCAAACCAGCUCCAGUCAUAAUUGUUCCAGGCAAAGGUGCCUAAGUGGGAUCCAAUAGUGGGUGUUUUGAAAGCAUCUGCUAGUGUACAUACCUUGUUUGGGAAAAUGCCUGAAACAAUGACAUAAUCAGAUUUGUAUGGUAUGUUUCGUGUUAGUUUCUUAUAAGUGUUAAUACGAAUGGAAAUGUACGUCUUCUAUGUUUUUUAUGGUGAUGUUUGAAGUGGUAUUAUUCUAAACCUUAAUAAUGUGAUUGAUUUUUUAAUGAAAUAUAUGUACAUCCAAGAUAUAAAUGCAUUAAAGUUAAUUUGUAUUAAGGACUUUGUAACUUGCUGCCAAACUUUCAAAUUGGAGACCUUGGUGAAUGGUAGCUUUUAUUUUCUUUGUACGCUUGGCAAAUGUAGAUGGCUCAUAUCCUGAUAUGUUGGUCUAUUAUGCAGACUUUGGUGUGGUGAUGCUGGUGGUAUGAAGAGGUCAACUUCUGUAAAUGAUUCAACUUGCACACAAUAUCUACUUUUAAUAUUUAGUUCAAAAAAAAUUAUGCAGACUUUGUACCACAUUGAUGGUGAAUUUAAGAAUUACAUUUCCCUAUAUAUAUAUACAAUAGAAUAUGGAAAUUUAAAGAAAAGUAAAUAUGCAUACUUUGAUGUUAUGCUCUGUUUUGCUGUUUGAUGUUUGAUGUUUAAGUGCAUUUUUAAAUUUGUUUUGAUUUUAAAAUGUUAUUGUUGGGGUACUUUCACAGGUGUUGUUUGAUCCAGAACUUUGGUCAGUGCUUGGACUUGCUGGCUACGAACUAUUUAAACUAUAAAAAGGUGUACUACAAGAAUGUAUAGGGGCUUCUAGCUUCUGAGUUGGAGAUAGGGGUUUCACAUUCUUUUUUAUGUUUGUUUGUUUGCCUAAUUUAGUGUUAGUUUUUUUUUUUGUUCAUUUAGUUUGGUUUGUAUUGGGGUAACUUUUUUCAGUUUUCCAUGUUAGCAACUCUGAUCCAUGGAGUUUGUUAUUGUAGUUCAUAGACAAUACAAUUCAAGCAAGGAUUAUGUAAUUGAAUUUUUUAUGAUUUCUAUUGUAACUUUUAUGUAUUGAAUAAAUGUGUUCAAUAUUAUUUAAAUAUAGCUUUUUGAAUAA